UUUCCUUACGUUUCUUCAUCUUCUUCCCCAACAUGAUCUUUAUAUCUAAUAAAUAAUAGGUCACCAUUGUGAGAAAUGAAGAAAGUGGAAACUUUGUAUGCACUGUGGUCCUAUGAGGAAGUACCGAUAGUAUAUUAGAUGACCUUGAAAGAGCAGUUGAUGAUGGUGUGAAUACAUACAAGGCAAUGUGCAGGGACAGUUGUAUAGUACCUAGAGCUGCAGCUACUGAAAUUGAGUUGGCUAGAAAACUGAAGGAGUUUUCUUUUAAGGAAACAGGAUGUUUACACCACAAAGAUGUUUCAGCUACUGCUAGCUGCUUAUUCAACAAUAAGCAUUCAAGAUGCUUCUCUCUUCUUGGGAAUGAAUGAGGAUGAUGCUACAAACUGCAUGUAGACCAGUGAAGACUACAACUUUAAUGCUAAGACAUGAUUUUUGUAUAUAUGUUAGUUUGUGGUUAAUGUUAAGACAUGAUUUUUGGAUAUAUGUUAGUUUGUGGUUAACGUUUUGGAUUUUGGAUAUGUUAAUUUUGUGGGUAAUGGUGAUUGGAUAUUAAUUGAAUGAG